CACGUAGGGCGCAAGCGUUGUCCGGAAUUAUUGGGCGUAAAGAGCUCGUAGGCGGUCUGUUGCGUCUGCUGUGAAAACUCGGGGCUUAACCCCGAGCCUGCAGUGGAUACGGGCAGACUAGAGGUAGGUAGGGGAGAAUGGAAUUCCCGGUGUAGCGGUGAAAUGCGCAGAUAUCGGGAGGAACACCGGUGGCGAAGGCGGUUCUCUGGGAAUGUCCUGACGCUGAGGAGCGAAAGUGUGGGGAGCGAACAGG
rnacentral:rRNA from 1 species